rnacentral:lncRNA from 1 species
CCAUUGUGGUCGGCACGGCCGUAAUCAUAGAUCGUAUCAUAGUUUGGCAAGCUUCAAAUGUGCCAUUAGUAUAGCAAGCUAUAAAUGUGCUAUUAGUUUGGCAAGCCAUAUAUUGCUGUUAUAAAUGAACUGGUCAUUCCACAUGGGUAGUCAAAAAUCCAUACUACACUCAAUAGAUGAAAGUUGGAACGACUUCAUA